GUCUAUGGUCUACCCCAAUGAAUGCACUCGGUCUUGUUGGACCUCAGAAGCUAUACAGGGUUGAGCCUGCUUAGUACUUGGAUGGGAGACUACCUGGGAAUACCUAGUGCUUUAGGCU
rnacentral:rRNA from 1 species